GAAUUUGUCACAGCUCAACCCUUUUAUGCUGGGGGCGGCUGCGGGGGUCAGCCCUUCACCGGGCCAGCCCUAACACAAUGGGCUGGGUCUUGCCAGAGAGGCAUGAGUUUACCUCUCAGACGCCAGUGGAGACAGCUUCUGUAGUGAGCACUGAGGGUUAGUAGAGCUGAGCCAGGAGAGGGGCAGGUGCAUUGCAGCCAGAGCAAACAGCAUGGCAGCAGCAAACAGUACAUUGAGGAAUCCUGUGUGCAGAUAGUCAAGGACAUAUACCAGUGAUCUCCAACCAGCCGUGACUCUGCCGCCAAGGGAACAUCUGGCACAGUCCAGAGACUUUUCUGGUUGUUACAGCUUGGAUUUUGCCCCAGUCUAGUGGGUAGAGGCCAGAGAUGAUGCUACAGUGCACAGAACAGUGCCCAGAACUAAGAGUUAUUCAGCCUUCAAUUGUGCUGAGACCAGGGAGCCAACCUGGGCUUAUCCAUCUCACUUUGAGGACAGAAGGGCAAAAAUGUAAGCAGAAGAAUAUAAGGCCCGAAGUCCUCGGCCCGAGUUCCAUCACCCCUGCCUCAUCCCACUGUCCCGGCAAGUCACAUGAGGAAGAGAUGAGGAAGCUCCACAAGCCCAGGAAUCAAGGAAUGGAGAAAGGAAUGGCCCGCUCUCUACUAUGCCUCACAAUUUUCUACAGAAGUUUUGCUUCCUUGUCUCAUGAUUGUAUACUCUGUUGGCUUAGAGGUCUUAGUUCUAAAGGGAGGAAUGCUUCCACCAGGAGGCACAGCAAUGAUUCCAUUAAACUAGAAGUCAAAGAUUGUCAUCCCA